AUCCUGGCUCNAGGACGAACGCUUGGCGGCGUGCCUAAUACAUGCAAGUCGAGCGGACAGAUGGGAGCUUGCUCCCUGAUGUUAAGCGGCGGACGGUGAGUAACACGUAGGUAACCUGCCNGUAAGACUGGGAUAACUCCGGAAACCGGGGCUAAUACCGGAUGGCUGUUUGAACCGCAUGGUUCAAACAUAAAAGGUGGCUUCGGCNACCACUCUACAGAUGGACCCGCGGCGCAUUAGCUAGUUGGUGAGGUAACGGCUCACCAAGGCGACGAUGCGUAGCCGACCUGAGAGGCGAUCGCCACACCGGGACCGAGACACGGCCCAGACCCUACGGGAGGCAGCGAGGAAUCUUCCGCAAUGGACGAAAGUCUGACGGAGCAACGCCGCGUGAGUGAUGAAGGUUUCGGAUCGUAAAGCUCUGUUGUAAAGAACAAGUGCCGUUCGAAUAGGGCGGUACCUUGACGGUACCUNCCGGAAAGCCACGGUUAACUACGUGCCAGCAGCCGCGGUAAUACGUAGGUGGAAAGCGUUGUCCGGAAUUAUNGCGUAAAGGGCUCGCAGGCGGUUUCUUAAGUCUGAUGUGAAAGCCCCGGCUCAACCGGGGAGGGUCAUUGGAAACCGGGAACUUGGUGCAGAAAGGAGAGUGGAAUUCACGUGUAGCGGUGAAAUGCGCAGAGAUGUGGAGGAACACCAGUGGCGAAGGCGACUCUGGUCUGUAACUGACGCUGAGGAGCGAAAGCGUGGGGAGCGAACAGGAUUAGAUACCCUAGUCCACGCCGUAAACGAUGAGUGCUAAGUGUUAGGGGUUUCCGCCCUUAGUGCUGCAGCUAACGCAUUAAGCACUCCGCCUGGGGAGUACGGUCGCAAGACUGAAACUCAAAGGAAUUGACGGGGCCCACAAGCAGUGGAGCAUGUGGUUUACCCGAAGCAACGCGAAGAACCUACCAGGUCUUGACAUCCCCUGACAAUCCUAGAGAUAGGACGUCCCCUUCGGGGGCAGAGUGACAGGUGGUGCAUGGUUGUCGUCGUCAGCUCGUGUCGUGAGAUGUUGGGUUAAGUCCCGCAACGAGCGCAACCCUUGAUCUUAGUUGCCAGCAUUCAGUUGGGCACUCUAAGGUGACUGCCGGUGACAAACUGGAGGAAGGUGGAUGACGUCAAAUCAUNNCGCCCCUUAUGACCUGGGCUACACGUGCUACAAUGGACAGAACAAAGGGCAGCGAAACCGCGAGGUCAAGCCAAUCCCACAAAUCUGUUCUCAGUUCGGAUCGCAGUCUGCAACUCGACUGCGNNNUGAAUCGCUAAUGUAAUCGCGAUCAGCAUGCCGCGGUGAAUACGUUCCUGGCCUUGUCACACCGCCCGUCACACCACGAGAGUUUGUAACCCGAAGUCGGUGAGGUAACCUUUUAGGAGCCAGCCGCCGAAGGUGGGACAGAUGAUUGGGGUGAAGUCGAACGAGGUAGCCGUAUCGGAAGGUGCGGCUG
rnacentral:rRNA from 1 species